rnacentral:rRNA from 1 species
GACGAACGCUGGCGGCGUGCCUAAUACAUGCAAGUUGAGCGCUGAAGGUUGGUACUUGUACCGACUGGAUGAGCAGCGAACGGGUGAGUAACGCGUGGGGAAUCUGCCUUUGAGCGGGGGACAACAUUUGGAAACGAAUGCUAAUACCGCAUAAAAACUUUAAACACAAGUUUUAAGUUUGAAAGAUGCAAUUGCAUCACUCAAAGAUGAUCCCGCGUUGUAUUAGCUAGUUGGUGAGGUAAAGGCUCACCAAGGCGAUGAUACAUAGCCGACCUGAGAGGGUGAUCGGCCACAUUGGGACUGAGACCCGGCCCAAACUCCUACGGGAGGCAGCAGUAGGGAAUCUUCGGAAAUGGACGAAAGUCUGACCGAGCAACGCCGCGUGAGUGAAGAAGGUUUUCGGAUCGUAAAACUCUGUUGGUAGAGAAGAACGUUGGUGAGAGUGGAAAGCUCAUCAAGUGACGGUAACUACACAGAAAGGGACGGCUAACUACGUG